CUUUUUUUCAGCAAAAUGUUGUGAGCACCUACCAUAUGCCAGGCACUGUUCAGUGAACUGGUUGUACAGGAGUGAAUGAGAUCAUCUUGAUUUUGAGAAGUUUAUAAUCUACUCAAGGGAAACACGUGUAAUCAACUAUGUUUCAGACAUAACCCCUCAAAACCAAAGCAGAACCUCUUCAAGGAGCUGAGAGAUGCAAGCCUGGAUAUGCUAAGCCUAAUAGUUUCCGUUUUGCCAACGAUCAAGAUGUGAUUUCCCCCCUGAUCUCUGCCCUUGGAAUUUCAUUUUCCUGAGAUGGGGAAAGGAAUGGAGCCUCUCCACCCUCUUUUGGGUGCUCAUCUUCUCUCCAAAAAGGAGAACAUGAAAUCCCCAUGAAGAAAUUCUGGCCCAAUCAGAGAAACUGUAAGAUGUCUCUGGGAUUUUAAAGGAUCCAUCUUUGGAUGGGUCUGAGAAAGCCUGUGAACUUCCGGCAAUAUUAUGCAGACUUGCUAGCUGAGGAACCACUCCUUGCAUCAGCAGGCUGUUGGAAGGAAAAGCACUGGCUCAAGAGAAGGAGAGAAAAGUCUUUGAACUAAGCCUGCCUUUGAGACCAGGGCUGCUUCUGCUGCAGGGCUUACACCCUGUCUCUCAGGAUAUUCAUGAACAGAAUCUCCCUGCUUGUGCUUUGUAAAGGGUGUCUGUGUUUGGAGAAAGAGAGACUUCCUUCCCUUUGUAAACAAAUACAGGUCAGCCAGGGAGAUUUAAGAAUGCGGUAACUGGGUUAGCCUUGCCCAAGCUGGGCUAGGGAGUGUCUUGGCUGUGGAGGAACUGAGGUUUUCUGGGGUGAAUCUGAGUUGGAUCCAACAAGGUUGAGAUGAAGACUCAAGUGGGGUAUCAGAACCCUGGAGCAUUACAAUCAUAGCAGGGAAGACAGAUGUGUGCAGAAAACCCAACGAUCAAGGCAAGGAGAGAAGUUGGAAGCCAGAAGUAAAGUUGGUAAUAAAAGAGUCAGAAGCAAAAUGAGGCAAGUUGAAAGGAAGGAACGGCCCUGAAUGACUCUGACUUGGCUUUGCUAACAGAAAGUAUGUGCAUUACAUACUGGGCGGGCUAAGCAUAGCCAUGGUGGCCUAAUAGUGCUACACCAGAUUGAGCAAGUCAUUCUCCCAAUACCGUGGCUGUGCAAACUCUGCCUAAAGUAUUUUUUUUUUUUAGGAACCCUCCCUCUAUCCGCCAGGCUGGAGUGCAGUGGCACAAUCUCGGCUCACUGCAAACUCUGCUUCCUGGGUUCAAACAAUUAUCAUGCCUCAGCCUCCCAAGUAGCUGGGAUUACAGGCGAGUGCCAUCAUGCCCAGCUAAUUUUUGUAUUUUUAGUAGAGACUAGGUUUUACCAUGUUGGCCAGGCUGGUCUCGAACUCCUGACCUCAGGUGAUCCACCUGCCUCAGCCUCCCAAAGUGCUGGGAUUACAGGUGUGAGCCACUGAGCCAGACCUAAAAUCUUAUAUUAUGGGCUAAAAGGUAUCUAUGAAAUCUUCUAUUCCAACUCCCUCAUUUCACACACAGAGAGAGUGAAGCCCAAGUAUUAAUUCAAGAUUUAAUAAAUAAUAAGGGACAGAGCCGACCACACUCUGUCUCUUUCUCCCUAUCCAUUAAAUAGUCAGCUUUGUCAUCAGUAUUCACCUUGAAACCUUUAUGCCCAACCUCACUGGAUCUUUCAUCCUUAUUUGUGUCUGUCAUCAUGGGAAGCCCCAGACCCCUGGGUCACCAGUUAUCUCCUGUAACUGCUCACCAUAUAGUUUUGCACAUCUCUCUCUCCCCUCAUCUUUCAUUCUCCCAAACUCCUAAAAUCCUUCUACUAUGUGCCCCUGGAACUCACAAUUCAUCAUCAGCUGACUUCUCCAUAUGCUCACAGUGUUCUUCUGAAUGCUCCUUUCACUGCUUAACUGAAAUCUGCAUCUCCUUCGAGGGCUCUGCUUCUCCUGCACCUCUCUCACUUUGUGGGUGGGGAAGGUGUCCUCUGUUGCCCUCAUUACUUGUUGCACACUUUCUCUUUUACCCUAAGAUCUCCCACUUUUGAAGUCCAUGCCGUCAUACUGCUUUGAAUCCCAUACCAUCAGACUAUGUCACCCACUACCUCUCGUUGCUGAAGUCAUCAACCUGGGUCAAGUAUAUUGUAAGGUAAAAUUUCAAGUGCUACCUUGACGUCUCUGAAUCUCACAGGGCCCCAAAGGCCUGACCAUGAAUGACCCUGCUUUCACCAGAUAUACCCCUCCCACAGUGGGAAAGCUUCCCCAUCUCUCUAGUUCCCUUACCAGCCAAACAGCUCCACUCCACCUGUUCAACCUCACAAGUUUCAUUUUCCUGAUAGCCUGUGAGUGAUUCAAAUAAGCCAGUUACGUCCUC
rnacentral:lncRNA from 1 species